UAAUUAUAAUAAAAAAUAUAUUAGUAAAUAAGUCGUUUAUAUAUAAUUUCAAUUAAAUGCACGGUAAUUAUUAAUAGUAUGUUCCUAGCGGCGUAUUGGCGGAUAGAAAAGGUAUAAUAAUAAACAAAUAAAAUACGCGUUAAUACCUUUCCUCGAAAUAAGAAAUAUUUUGCAAAUAAAAAUUAUAUAUUAACAAAUGUUAUUAUAAAUAAUAUUUCCCCCCGGAUUAGUGUAGCUCGCGGAUUUUUUUUAAGAAAGGUAAAACGUCCGGGUUAUUAUUAUAUUGAAAACAUUUUAAUUAUUAUAUUUGUUUGAAAAGAAUAAAUCCGGAAAAACCGCAGCCUUUUUAUAAGGCCGCUUUGAUUAUAUACUACGGGAAUUAUAAUGAAAAUUGCGGCGUUCAAUAGUAAAUAUAAUAAAUAGAAGUUAAGUUAAAAUUAACUUUCCGUUGGUUUAAUAAGAAAGAAUAUAACGGAAAUGCAAAGCAAAUGGGAUAAAGGUUAAAUAUUGCUAAAUAAAUUUAUUGAAAAUUGCUUUUUUAAAAUAAAAAAUAAUACCCAAAAGAAUAGUAUAGAAAACAAUUAGUAUUUCCCCGGUGUAUUUAUUUUUAAAUAAAAUCGGAAAUAAAUACGUUAUAAAAUUAGAAGAAUUAGACAAUUAAUACCCGUUAAUCGAUAAAAUAUAUACAAAAGAAGACAAAACGGAGGAAAUUACUUCCCCCAAUUAUAUUGCAAAGGACCAUUUAAUUGCUUAUAAAGUACUCCAAGCCGGAAUUGGUACCGAGGCGCUUUACCGGGGAAAUAUAUAUAAAUAUUUAAACGGUAAAUAAAAAUACAACCGCAAAAGAAUUGCAAGUAUAAUUGUAAAUAAUAUUACCCGAAAAUUUAAUUGUUUAUUUAAACAAAUUUUUAUUAAAUAAUAAAGAAAAGGAAUUCGAAAUAAAUAUAGUAAAAUUCUAAUAAUAAUUACCGGUUGCAAAAUUAUAAUUACAAAAAAGGAAAUUAUAUUAGUAUAACGCGAAAAAAGGAUUGUUAUAUUUAUAUUAGUAUGUUCGAAUUACAUAUUAAUCUUAUAGCCGGUAUUUAUUAUUACGAUUAUUUUAAUUAUAAUUUAUAUAUGGUUCUAAUAUUAUUCGUACGUAUCAGUUUAUUAAUUAUUCCGGCGUGGGCUUAUAAAUAGUAAAAUGUGUUAAGUUUGCGCUAUAUUAUUUUCUAGACUAGAACUAGCGGUCGGCAAAUGGGCAGGGCCCUGAAGUGGUUAUUUUUCUUUUGCUCUUUUAACCAUUAUAAUAAUCCAACUAAAUACCCAGUAUAAACCAGAUUUGAUACGUAUAUAAAACCAAGAAGCCGCUUUCAAUGGCAUAAUAUUAAAUAUUUAUAGCGAUAGUAAUAAUCGAAAUAUUAAAAAUAGUAUACAUUUGCGAUUUUUAUUAUUUGAAAUUCGAAUCAAAAAGCAAUAAAUAUAGGGUAAAGCCCAUUAAAUAAAGUAGGUUUUAAAUAAAGGUCGGGAUUUUAACCUGGGUUUGUAACAUAUUUGGUUAAUUUUGUACAAUGUUUCAAAAUAAAAACUUUCGAAACGCAUACAAAAUUAGAACUUGAUUUAUAAUAUUUCUGGUUAAUAAAUAAAAAAUAAAAAAAACAUCUUACGGGUAGUAAAAGAAUAAAACAAAACUACACAUUCUUUCUGGAUUUAUAUUUAAAAUCCUUUGCAUUUAAAUAUGUUUUUUAAAGAAUCCCCAUAGUUAAAAUUUUACUAGUAAAAUCCUUGAAUAAAUGUUUAAAUAUAAUGGACUUUGCAAUUAAAAUUAAAAGAAAUAUGUAAUUGUACUUUUAUUUUUUUAUUAUUCGUAGGAUUCUUUUUCAGUUUUUAAUUUAUUAAGCAAAAAUAUUAUAAUUUAAAUUUUAAUUUAAUAUGCGUUUUUAUAAUUUUUAUUUUAAAAAAUGGUAUAAAAUUAACCGAAUAUAUUAUAAGCCCAAUUUAAAACCCCAAAAAUUAUUUUACGUUAAGUUUACUUAACGAGUUUUACCCUAUAUAUAUCGCGGUUUAAUUCGAAUUUUAAAUAAUAAAAAUAGCAAAGAUAUAUUAUUUUUAAUAUUUCGAUUAUUAUAACCGUUAUAAAUAUAUUCAUAUUAUAUAAUUUAAAAGCGGCCGCUUGGUUUUAUUUAUAUACGUACCAAAUUUGGAUUAUAUCGGGUAUUUAAUUCGAUUGUUAUAA
rnacentral:sRNA from 1 species